GGCGCAGCGCGGGUCUCUCCCUUUUGGACCCAGCCCGCCCCUUUGCGGAGCCGCAUGGCCCAGGUCCGGCCCGGGCCGAGCUGCGCCGCCCGCGGGGCCAUGAGCCUGGAGGCCCUGCGCUACCGCCGCGGCUCCCUGCGCGUCCUCAACCAGCUGCUACUGCCCCAGCGGAGCUGCUAUGAGGAGAUCGGCGGCGUGCGCCAGGGCUGGGAGGCCAUCCGGGCCAUGAAGGUGCGGGGUGCCCCUGCCAUUGCCAUCGUGGGGUGCCUGAGCCUGGCGGUGGAGCUGCAUGGUGGGGCUGGCAUGGGGCAGGACAAGGCCGGCCUGGAAACCUUCAUCCGUGACUCCCUCCGCUACCUGGUGACGGCGCGGCCCACAGCUGUGAACAUGGCGCGGGCGGCCGAGGAGCUGGGGGCUUUUGCUUCCCAGGAGGCCCAGCGUGAGGAGGCCACAGCCGAGAGCCUGCGGGAGAGCGUGAUCCAGUGGGCAGAGGCCAUGCUGGAGAAGGACCUGCAGGACAACAGGAGCAUUGGGGAGCACGGGGCACGCCACCUGCUCCAGGCGUCACCGCAGGACAAGGUGACGGUGCUGACCCACUGCAACACCGGCUCCCUGGCCACCGCCGGCUAUGGCACCGCGCUGGGUGUCAUCCGCUCUCUGCACGCCCUGGGCCGUCUGGAGCACGUCUACUGCACAGAGACGCGGCCGUACAACCAGGGGGCGCGGCUCACAGCCUACGAGCUGGUGUACGAUCACAUCCCGGCCACGCUCAUCGCAGACAGCAUGGUCUCUGUGGCCAUGAAGGAGAAGGGUGUGUCGGCUGUCGUCGUGGGAGCCGACCGGGUGGUGGCCAACGGCGACACCGCCAACAAAGUGGGCACCUACCAGCUGGCCAUCGCUGCAAAGCAUCAUGAGAUCCCCUUCUACGUGGCGGCCCCUAGCACCUCAUGCGACCUGAGCUUGGCAGAAGGGGCUGAAAUCGUGAUCGAGGAGCGGCCGAGCCAGGAGCUGACAGAUGUCAAUGGAGUGAGGAUUGCAGCGCCAGGGAUCGGCGUUUGGAACCCGGCCUUCGACAUCACGCCGCACGAGCUCAUCACUGGGGGCAUCAUCACGGAGCUUGGUGUCUUCUGCCCUGAAGAGCUCCGAGAGGCCCUCCCCGGGGCCGUGAAAGGGGAGUGAACCGCUGGGGCCAAUAACUGCUCUGCCUCAUGCUGCGAAGGGGUGGAGAGAGGCCCGGCUCUCCCUCCGCAGAGACGAAGACGGCCGGAUAAUUGCUCCCAAGAAAGCUCGGGUGAUCCAGCAGCAGAAACUGAAAAAGAUUUAUUUCUGACCUUACUCAGACAAUCUUCAGGUUCCAGAACAACUUAAAGCUUCUGCAAAGAGACAUUGUGUCAAGAGACUUCAACCACUUUCCCCAUCUCAAGAAUAGGGUAAACACGUUCCCAGAAAUCGAAGUAGAGGAUCACAAACUCGAGGAAUACAGAGGUAAAGUACAAGGUCUGCUUGAUGACUUUCUGGCCAGGUUUGAAGACUUGCAGAAGUGGAGACCCUGCUUCGCCUUUCGUGUAAA